UUGAAGAGGGGGACAACAGUUGGAAACGACUGCUAAUACCGCAUGACGCAUAGAGGUCGCAUGAUCUUUAUGCCAAAGAUUUAUCGCUUCAAGAUGGCCUCGCGUCUGAUUAGCUAGUUGGCGGGGUAACGGCCCACCAAGGCGACGAUCAGUAGCCGGACUGAGAGGUUGAACGGCCACAUUGGGACUGAGAUACGGCCCAGACUCCUACGGGAGGCAGCAGUGGGGAAUAUUGGGCAAUGGGCGCAAGCCUGACCCAGCAACGCCGCGUGAAGGAAGAAGGCUUUCGGGUUGUAAACUUCUUUUAAGAGGGAAGAGCAGAAGACGGUACCUCUAGAAUAAGCCACGGCUAACUACGUGCCAGCAGCCGCGGUAAUACGUAGGUGGCAAGCGUUGUCCGGAUUUACUGGGUGUAAAGGGCGUGCAGCCGGGUCUGCAAGUCAGAUGUGAAAUCCAUGGGCUCAACCCAUGAACUGCAUUUGAAACUGUAGAUCUUGAGUGUCGGAGGGGCAAUCGGAAUUCCUAGUGUAGCGGUGAAAUGCGUAGAUAUUAGGAGGAACACCAGUGGCGAAGGCGGAUUGCUGGACGAUAACUGACGGUGAGGUCGCGAAAGUGUGGGGAGCAAACAGGAUUAGAUACCCUGGUAGUCCACACUGUAAACGAUGAAUACUAGGUGUGCGGGGACUGACCCCCUGCGUGCCGCAGUAAACACAAUAAGUAUUCCACCUGGGGAGUA
rnacentral:rRNA from 1 species